UUCGGGGUACUCGAGUGGCGAACGGGUGAGUAACACGUGGGUGAUCUGCCCUGCACUUUGGGAUAAGCCUGGGAAACUGGGUCUAAUACCGAAUAGGACCACGCGCUUCAUGGUGUGUGGUGGAAAGCUUUUGCGGUGUGGGAUGGGCCCGCGGCCUAUCAGCUUGUUGGUGGGGUAAUGGCCUACCAAGGCGACGACGGGUAGCCGGCCUGAGAGGGUGACCGGCCACACUGGGACUGAGAUACGGCCCAGACUCCUACGGGAGGCAGCAGUGGGGAAUAUUGCACAAUGGGCGCAAGCCUGAUGCAGCGACGCCGCGUGAGGGAUGACGGCCUUUCGGGUUGUAAACCUCUUUCAAUAGGGACGAAGCGCAAGUGACGGUACCUAUAGAAGAAGCACCGGCCAACUACGUGCCAGCAGCCCGCGGUAAUACGUAGGGUGCGAGCGUUGUCCGGAAUUACUGGGCGUAAAGAGCUCGUAGGUGGUUUGUCGCGUUGUUCGUGAAAACUCACAGCUUAACUGUGGGCGUGCGGGCGAUACGGGCAGACUAGAGUACUGCAGGGGAGACUGGAAUUCCUGGUGUAGCGGUGGAAUGCGCAGAUAUCAGGAGGAACACCGGUGGCGAAGGCGGGUCUCUGGGCAGUAACUGACGCUGAGGAGCGAAAGCGUGGGGAGCGAACAGGAUUAGAUACCCUGGUAGUCCACGCCGUAAACGGUGGGUACUAGGUGUGGGUUCCUUCCUUGGGAUCCGUGCCGUAGCUAACGCAUUAAGUACCCCGCCUGGGGAGUACGGCCGCAAGGCUAAAACUCAAAGGAAUUGACGGGGGCCCGCACAAGCGGCGGAGCAUGUGGAUUAAUUCGAUGCAACGCGAAGAACCUUACCUGGGUUUGACAUGCACAGGACGCCGGCAGAGAUGUCGGUUCCCUUGUGGCCUGUGUGCAGGUGGUGCAUGGCUGUCGUCAGCUCGUGUCGUGAGAUGUUGGGUUAAGUCCCGCAACGAGCGCAACCCUUGUCCUAUGUUGCCAGCGGGUUAUGCCGGGGACUCGUAGGAGACUGCCGGGGUCAACUCGGAGGAAGGUGGGGAUGACGUCAAGUCAUCAUGCCCCUUAUGUCCAGGGCUUCACACAUGCUACAAUGGCCGGUACAAAGGGCUGCGAUGCCGUGAGGUGGAGCGAAUCCUUUCAAAGCCGGUCUCAGUUCGGAUCGGGGUCUGCAACUCGACCCCGUGAAGUCGGAGNCUNUCGCUAGUAAUCGCAGAUCAGCAACGCUGCGGUGAAUACGUUCCCGGGCCUUGUACACACCGCCCGUGCACGUCAUGAAAGUCGGUAACACCCGAAGCCGGUGG
rnacentral:rRNA from 1 species